rnacentral:rRNA from 1 species
GAUGAACGCUGGCGGCGUGCCUAAUACAUGCAAGUCGAGCGAACAGAUGAGGAGCUUGCUCCUCUGACGUUAGCGGCGGACGGGUGGGUAACACGUGGAUAACCUACCUAUAAGACUGGGAUAACUUCGGGAAACCGGAGCUAAUACCGGAUAAUAUAUUGAACCGCAUGGUUCAAUAGUGAAAGACGGUUUUGCUGUCACUUAUAGAUGGAUCCGCGCCGCAUUAGCUAGUUGGUAAGGUAACGGCCUACCAAGGCAACGAUGCGUAGCCGACCUGAGAGGGUGAUCGGCCACACUGGAACUGAGACACGUUCCAGACUCCUACGGGAGGCAGCAGUAGGGAAUCUUCCGCAAUGGGCGAAAGCCUGACGGAGCAACGCCGCGUGAGUGAUGAAGGUCUUCGGAUCGUAAAACUCUGUUAUUAGGGAAGAACAAAUGUGUAAGUAACUAUGCACGUCUUGACGGUACCUAAUCAGAAAGCCACGGCUAACUACGUG